CGCACCGCAAGGUGAGUGGCAGACGGGUGAGUAACGCGUGGGAACCUUCCCUGUGGUACGGAAUAACUUCGGGAAACCGAAGCUAAUACCGUAUAUCCCCUCCGGGGGAAAGAUUUAUCGCCAUAGGAUGGGCCCGCGUUGGAUUAGCUAGUUGGUAGGGUAAUGGCCUACCAAGGCAACGAUCCAUAGCUGGUCUGAGAGGAUGAUCAGCCACACUGGGACUGAGACACGGCCCAGACUCCUACGGGAGGCAGCAGUGGGGAAUAUUGGACAAUGGGCGCAAGCCUGAUCCAGCCAUGCCGCGUGAGUGAAGAAGGCCUUAGGGUUGUAAAGCUCUUUUAGCGGGGACGAUAAUGACGGUACCCGCAGAAUAAGCCCCGGCUAACUUCGUGCCAGCAGCCGCGGUAAUACGAAGGGGGCUAGCGUUGUUCGGAAUCACUGGGCGUAAAGCGCACGCAGGCGGAUUGAUAAGUCAGGGGUGAAAUCCCGGGGCUCAACCUCGGAAUUGCCUUUGAUACUGUCUGUCUUGAGUUCGGGAGAGGUUGGCGGAAUUCCUAGUGUAGAGGUGAAAUUCGUAGAUAUUAGGAAGAACACCAGUGGCGAAGGCGGCCAACUGGCCCGAUACUGACGCUCAUGUGCGA
rnacentral:rRNA from 1 species